AUUGAACGCUGGCGGCAUGCCUUACACAUGCAAGUCGAACGGCAGCACGGGAGCAAUCCUGGUGGCGAGUGGCGAACGGGUGAGUAAAGUAUCGGAACGUGCCCAGUCGUGGGGGAUAACGCAGCGAAAGCUGCGCUAAUACCGCAUACGAUCUGAGAAUGAAAGCGGGGGACCGUAAGGCCUCGCGCGAUCGGAGCGGCCGAUGUCAGAUUAGGUAGUUGGUGGGGUAAAGGCUCACCAAGCCAACGAUCUGUAGCUGGUCUGAGAGGACGACCAGCCACACUGGGACUGAGACACGGCCCAGACUCCUACGGGAGGCAGCAGUGGGGAAUUUUGGACAAUGGGCGAAAGCCUGAUCCAGCAAUGCCGCGUGCAGGAAGAAGGCCUUCGGGUUGUAAACUGCUUUUGUACGGAGCGAAAAGGUCCCCUCUAAUACAGGGGGCUCAUGACGGUACCGUAAGAAUAAGCACCGGCUAACUACGUGCCAGCAGCCGCUGUAA
rnacentral:rRNA from 1 species